ensembl:lncRNA
CCGCUGACUUCUCUGGGCUCGAUCUCAUCUGAGAUGGACAGUAGCACAGUGGAAUCGCGAUUUGGGGUCCGACGAGUCGACGUUUCAAAUAGUUUUAGGUCAAAACAGCCAAAAACCAGCGUCUGUCAUGAUAUCGGGUGUGUCAGUGCCUAUGGCGGGUAACUUGCACAUCUGUGAGGGCAGCAUUAAUGCAGAAAGAUACGUACACAUUUUGGAGCAACAUAUUCUGCCAUCCAGAGCAGGACAACGCCAAACCACAUUCUGCCCGGAUUACAAGCGCAUGGUUGCGUAAGCAGAGCGUGCGUGUGCUAGCACGGCCUGCCUGCAGUCCUGACCUGUCUCUGAUUGAGAGUGUAAGGUGCAUUAUGAAGCGCACAAAAUGUACAAUGGAUGAAUGGGGGAAAAUUCCACUUGCUAAACUUAACCAACCGGUGUCUUCACUCAGCGUCCAAACGCUUAAUAAGUGUUAUUAAAAGAAAAAGUGAUGUUACACAGCGGUAAACAGUCGACCGUCCCAACUUUUUUGGAGCGCGUUGCAGUAAUCAGAUUUGAAAUGAGUGUGUAUUUUCAAAAAUAAAUCAAAUUCACAAAGUAAAACAUCAAAUAAUGUUUUGUUAAGGUGUUUCCAAUAUAGUGCAGGGUGAAUUGAAAUUUCAAAUGCCUCUUUUUGUUUGUUGUUGCAUUUUUCCAUUCUGUCCCCACCUUUUUUUUUCGGAAUUGGGGUUGUAAAUUAAUAAGCUGAAACAGCAGGUUGUUUAUCAGAGUGACUUCACUGUGGAAUAAUUCAACAAGUAUCUCCGCUGCUGUUCAACACAGAGCACAUGCACAAAUAGUUUAUAUCGUUUUAUUGAAAUUUUACACUCCUCCUCUGAAAGUAUUGGAACAACAAGACCGGUUCCUGUGUUUGUGUUUGCGCUGUACACCAAAGACAUUUGGGUUUGAGAUGAAAGUUUAGGAUUUCAGCUUUUAUUUCUUGGUAUUUACAUCAAGACGUGUUAACAUAAAACGCAGAACCUUUUGUAUCCAGACCACCACAUUUUUAGGUGAGCAAAAGUAUAGGAACAGAUAAGCCUUGAAGUAAAUGACAGUUCGUUUACGUUUCGGAGAUACUGCUCAGUCGGGUUAAAGUCUGGUGAUUGACUUGGCCAGUCUAAAACCUUACACUUUUCCUCCCUGGUAAAGUCCUUGUUGAGUUGGUGGUGUGUUUUGGAUCAUUGCCUUGCUGCAUGAUGAAGUUCCUCCUGAUUAAUUUGGGUGUAUUUCUCUGUAAAUUGGCAGACAAAAUGUUCCUGUAAACCGAACGUAAAAGGCAUUCUGCUGCUACCAUCAUGAGUUCCAUCAACAAUAAAGAUUAGCGAGAACGUUCCAGAAGCAGCCAUGCAAGCCCAAGCCAUGACACUACCUCCACCAUGUUUCACAGAUGAGCUCGUAUGUUUUGGGUCAUGAGCGGAUUCUUUCUUUCCCCACACUUUGGCCUUUCCAUCACUCUGGUAGAAGUUAAUCUUAGUUCCAGAACUUUUGAGGCUCAGCUCUGUAUUUCAUUGCGAAUUCCAUUCUGGCUUUCUGAAUCUUAGUGCUAAUGAGUGGCUUGUAUCUUGUGGUAUGGCCUCUGUAUUUCUGCUCUCAAAGCCUCCUUCAAAUGGAGGAUUGUGAUACCUUCACCUUGCCCUCUGGAGGUUGUUGGUGACGUCACAGACUGCUGUUUUAGGGUUUUUCUUCACAGCUCUCACAAUGUUUCUGUCAUCAACUGUUGUUAUUUUCCUUGGCUGACCCAUUCAGUGUCCGUUGCUCAGUACACCAGUGGUUUCUUUCUUUUUCAGUACAUUCCAAAUUGUUGUAUUGGCUACGCCCAAUGUUUGUGCAAUGCCUCUGAUUAAUUUUCCCUCUUUUCUCAGCUUCAAAAUGGCUUGCUUUUCUCCCAUAGACAGCUCUCUGAUCUUCACGAUGGCUUAUCCUUUUUAACAACAAAUGCCAUCUUCACAGGUGAAACUGAAGACUAAAACCAGGACUAGAUGUUCAGAGCUAUUUAUUGUUUAAACAAUCAUUUUAACAGGACACACCUGGGUAACAAGAAACACCCGUCAGUUACGUGUUCUAAUAUUUUUGCUUGCCUACAAGCAAAAAAUACUUCGUCUGAUACAAAAUGUGCUACGUUCUAUGCCGUUUAACACCUCUCUCUCUCUCUCUCUCUCUCUCUCUCUCUCUCUA